UACGUAGGGGGCAAGCGUUGUCCGGAAUUAUUGGGCGUAAAGGGCGCGUAGGCGGCGCGGUAAGUCACUUGUGAAAUCUCUGAGCUUAACUCAGAACGGCCAAGUGAUACUGCAGUGCUAGAGUGUGGAAGGGGCAAUCGGAAUUCUUGGUGUAGCGGUGAAAUGCGUAGAUAUCAAGAGGAACACCUGAGGUGAAGACGGGUUGCUGGGCCAACACUGACGCUGAGGCGCGAAAGCCAGGGGAGCAAACGGG
rnacentral:rRNA from 1 species